rnacentral:rRNA from 1 species
GAUGAACGCUGGCGGCGUGCCUAAUACAUGCAAGUCGAGCGAAUGGAUUAAGAGCUUGCUCUUAUGAAGUUAGCGGCGGACGGGUGAGUAACACGUGGGUAACCUGCCCAUAAGACUGGGAUAACUCCGGGAAACCGGGGCUAAUACCGGAUAAUAUUUUGAACUGCAUGGUUCAAAAUUGAAAGGCGGCUUCGGCUGUCACUUAUGGAUGGACCCGCGUCGCAUUAGCUAGUUGGUGAGGUAACGGCUCACCAAGGCAACGAUGCGUAGCCGACCUGAGAGGGUGAUCGGCCAAAAUGGGACUGAGACACGGCCCAGAAUCCUACGGGAGGCAGCAGUAGGGAAUCUUCCGCAAUGGACGAAAGUCUGACGGAGCAACGCCGCGUGAGUGAUGAAGGCUUUCGGGUCGUAAAACUCUGUUGUUAGGGAAGAACAAGUGCUAGUUGAAUAAGCUGGCACCUUGACGGUACCUAACCAGAAAGCCACGGCUAACUACGUGCCAGCCGCCGCGGUAA